UACGUAGGUGGCAAGCGUUGUCCGGAAUUACUGGGUGUAAAGCGCGUGUAGGCGGCAGACCAAGUCGGCGGUGAAAGCGCCCGGCUCAACUGGGCGAGGUCCGUGGAAACUGGUCAGCUGGAGGACGGUAGAGGCGAGUGGAAUUCCCGGUGUAGUGGUGAAAUGCGUAGAGAUCGGGAGGAACACCUGUGGCGAAGGCGGCUUGCCAGAACGCGCUCGACGGUGAGGGAUGAAAGCUGGGGGGAGCAAACCGG
rnacentral:rRNA from 1 species